ACUAUUAUUAUUGACUUCUGAUGCUACGUUGCAGGUAUAUGCCGGCACAGAGUGCCAACCCCUCCAAAUGAUAUUCUGACAUGAAUCCUGUUUUGCAAUAAUUAAAGUUUUCGUUUGAUGGUGAAUAUACCUAACCUCAUUUCCAUUGGAAUUUAUUUGUUUACAUAUUCAGAUGAAUUGUAAAUUAUUUGAAUCGUUCAAUUUCGGUCGUUUUCCUUCUUUAUUACGGUUAUUCAAAAGAAAUACUAAAACAACUUGCUGAAGAGAAAUGCAACCUAAUUACAUGGUCUCAGUAACCAUCCGUGAGGAAGACGAACCUGAGAUGGUUUAGGUACUUCAAAAGAACCUGCAUCAUUCCAACCCAGCGUCAGCUGCACUAACUCUUUCUUCGUCUCAGCGAAACAGCGGAAAACAUCCAAGAACUCUGGAUCGUAAUAAACAAAAUACAGCGAUGUCGACAUUAUAUGCAUCACAGUAAGGCUGGAGAGCAAGCUUCUCUGCAUAGCUUCCUCUCCUGAGAUCACCUCAUACCUCUGCGUACAAAAACCGAAGUAAGGGUGGCAGGGACUAAAUUCAAAAAAGCACUGUCUGAGUCCCUCGCAAACAACGUUUAGCACGAUAGGUACAGUUUAUCGCUAUCAAAAAGUGUAUUUCUCUCGUUGAGCUAAACUCAUGGUCAAAAUUUGUUGAACCGGUAGACGUUGUCACUAAAGUCAUGCCCUUUGUACGGGGCACAAAUAUAUCAUCAAAUAUGAAAAAUACUCUGGAAAGUUAACUAUCACUUAAAUGUGUAAGCAUAUAACAGUAGACAUAAAGGGAAUACAAAAAGUAGAGUUAUGAGAAUCCAUGUUUCUUAGCAUCACAUGUUCUGCUUAAAAUUUAUUUGAUUCUCUUUGGAUA